rnacentral:piRNA from 1 species
UGCUCAAGGGGAUCUAAUGUUUGGGCU